GAUUCAAAGCUCUCAGUAAAUCGUAUGAUGAUUGAUGGAUUAGAGCAGCGUUCCCUAAACUUUUUCUCCGUCGGUCCCCUUUGAGAUAAUAAAAAUGAUCGCAGAACCCCUUCUCCUUUAAACCCUUUUAUACAAUAGUAUUUUCGUUUUUAUAUAUACCAUAUAGUAUUUUCAAUUUACGUUCGUAAACAAACGUCCGGUAUACAUGCGGACCCUUAUGGACCCAGUCUGGAAGACGCUGGACUACAGAAUUUCUUUUUAUAAUUUAUGCA